UUGCUGUAGCCUUACUGUCAAUAGGUGUUAUAGUGUGAUUGGAACCGCACAUUUAUCUAGGUCACAUAGAAGACAUGCCUCACUUGACAUAUUGGUCCAAGUGCGUCACACUAUUCCAUGUUACAAAUUCGCAAAAGGGUGGUUUGGUUUUACAAGUGGCAAGAGCAAUUGAUAAUCUUAGAAUGCUGUAGCCUAUGCAUGCAACCCCAUGUGUGUUUGUCAAAACAAACAACUUGCAGGUCCAUGACAGCAUGUACCCUGUUUGGAGGGAAAAAUCUUUACGUGUGCCCGUCUGACCACUUCUAUUGGGUGACACAUCAGACGAGCAGUUCGGGAACAAGGUUCACUUGAUGAGGAGGCUGAUUUAUGAGUAGGGACUACAGAAUCUCCAACGGGCUCGCACAAUAAAUUGGGCUGGAAAAUUGGCGUCGACUUGAUUGAGAGCACGUGCAUAGCCCAGGAGGAAGAUUUGAAUGCUGAUGUAAAAUAUAAGGGGUUGGAGGAAUAUGGCCUUGAUUUCCCUGCUGUCGUAGAGAGGCCUAAUGGAGAUGUCUGGGACUUCGCCUACUCCUGAACCAACAUGAGGUGAGAGGAGCAAGACAGAGAGAAAGAGGAUAACGACUGAUUUGGCCCUGUGUUAAGCAUGGCCUACAGAUUGAAGAGGUGGAGCAUCUAUCUGGGUGACUCUCUACAGCUGUCUCUAGAGGAGAGAGAGGCAUGGGCUGUCAUCACCUUCUGAACAACAGCCAAGAUACAGUAUGCUGAUGAAGAAGGAUACAGCAAACUACUAUUUCUAAUCAGCAUGCAUACAUCUUAAAGACACAAACCACCAAAUGUACACUCCCAUCCUUUGAACCCAGUCAUUUCUGUAUCAUUGUGAUUUAAAUCUAUAAGUUGUUAAACUGUUUACGGUCUACUGGGCUGUAAAAGUACAACAUAAUCUAUUCUGAAUUGUAAAAGUCUGUAUUGCAGUACUGGAUUUCAAGUGAACCUGUCCUUAGAAUAGAGUGUAAGUGAACCCAAAGGGAACCCACAGUGCACUUGCUCUUUAUCUGAAAUAUGAAUUGAUUGAAACAGUACACAUCAAAGAUAAUAUUUGUGUACGUUUUCAAAUCACUGUAUUUUCUCAAUAAAUUGAAUAAAGUAUAUUCAAGAAUAUUUUGGGGAAGAAUUAAUUUUCCCCACAUGA